CCCUAUUACUAAGACUCCGCUGUCCGUCCGUCCGUCCGUCCGUCUGUCACCAGGCUGUAUCUCACGAACCGUGAUAGCUAGACAGUUGAAAUUUUCACAGAUGAUGUAUUUCUGUUGCCGCUAUAACAACGAAUACUAAAAACAGAAUGAAAUAAAGAUUUAAGUGGGGCUCCCAUAAAACAAACAUAAUGGUACGGAACCCUUCGUGUGCGAGUUCGACUCGCCAAUUUUUUAUAUCAAUUCUACAUAAGUACUACGAUUAAAUACAUUUUACUCACAUUAUAAUCGGACUUAUAAAAAAUAACAAAAUUCUUUUAUCUAAGUGAGCAAGUGAGAUAACAAAUGAUUAAAGGAAAACAAAUGUUUCUUACCGGUCGGUAAAAUUGCAUCCACACCGAAAUCGUUGUUGUUUAUGUCUUCCAUCAUUGCUGUCAAAUCAGGGUGCAUAGCCGUGUCAUUCAACAAAGGUGAGUUCAGGGUUCCAGAAUUCGUAGCAAGGUCAUUCGGAUGAAGCAGGUUCGGGGUCCAGUUCAUAGCACAGUCGGUCAGGUUAGGCGGUUCAAAUUCCGGUAAUCCAUAGCCAUGGUCACAAAAUACGAAAUCACUAAACAGCACAGGAGGAGUAUAAAGUCGCCAACGAAUAAAUCGUGACUAAAUAAUAUUUUCCAUGUUACUCAAAAAUACAUCUCUAAUAGGGGGGAUGGGAUGAAUCACAUCUUGAACUCUUGUGACAAAUACCACAUGAAAGAUAAUACCGCCGCCGCCGCUCGGAUCCAUUCCUUGUUUAUUGUCCAAGUGUGUCCGAUAAGCUUACACCUGGUCGGUCAUUGUCUUUGUUUUGGUAAACGCCAUUAUAUUAGUAACAAUAGAGAACUUAAAAUGUAUUAUAGUACUUACUUUCUAAUCUGCCGUAGAAACCACGAUGUUUGAAAAAACUUGUAAAUAUUUGUCACAAACUAUUUGUUAUACAAUACAUAUUAGUUAGUGGUGACUGUUUCAACCGCCUUGUUCUAUAUUGAAACGAAAAAAAAAUAACUUUAACAUCAUUGUUAGUAGGUAAUUGCCUAAGAUACAAUACAACGAUCACCAAAUAUUAUGACAUAAAAGUACAGUGGGAAAAAAUCCUCGUUGCCUUACCCCUCAUACAAAACAAAAUAUUAUUAUACUACGGCUUGGUUCCUACAAAUUGUUGCUUACCAUCAUCCAAACAGUAAUCAGUUGUAAAAUGGUACAAUAUCAAACAGCUUCAACAUGAAAUAAGCUUUAAAACCAGCCAAUAAAGUUUAUUUUAGCCUGCUACGGAAACAUUAGCAGUUUUUACAAGUAGCGCCAGGCCACGGUGACCCAUACCUUGAGCCCUGUCAAUAACUUCUGAAAUAUAUAUAUUUUUUGUAUUUUUCAAUAUAGAUUUUUCUGUUUGCUUGCAUCGCAUUAUGUAUCUAGAAUUUCAGUAUAUUUACUAUAUUGCACUGAUAGUAAACCAAACUUGAAUAUUCGAGACCCUGUUUUCAUUAAAAAAAACGUGUUUAUAAUUUUUAUCCUAAUAUGCCUUAUAGAAAUGAUUGUUAACUUAUAUGUUACUUACGUUAUUACAUCAAAUUACGUUUCGUUUAAGUUUAAAUCAGAAUUUAUUCAGGACUCACAUGUGAGUCACUGGCCCUGCGGAACUGUUUGAGCAUGACCCAUACGCUGAGUCGCUGGCCCUGAAUGGGUUAAA